rnacentral:lncRNA from 1 species
ACUGUAGAAGCCACAUUUGUGACCCUAUCGUCAUGAAACUUUGUCAGAAUGUUUAUCUUGAUGAUUCCAAGGCCAAGUUUAACAGGUGCGCGAUAUAGGGUCACCAUGACCCUCUUGUUUUUUUAAGGCAGAAAUUUGAACUUUGGUUACAAUAUUCAAUGAAACCCCAUAUUUGGGUUUUUGUUAUUAUUCCAUAAAAAACCCAAAUUAAUUAUAUUCAUUUUAACUGCAGUUCCAAUUUUCAGUGAAGACUCAAUUUUAAACUUUUGUUAAAAUAUUUUUCUAGAUUACAUUAAAUUGUAUUCACAGCAGCCAUUUUGCAUUAUUUUGGUGUAACAUGUCAAUAUGUCAAUGUAAUUCAGAUAUUUAUCAUUUGAGCCACGCCAUGAGAAAACCAAGAUAGUGGCUUUGCAACCAAAAGGGAUUCAGACCAGCCUGCGCAUCCACGCAGUUUGGUCAGGAUCCAUGCUGUUCGCUUUCAAAGCCUACUGCAGUUAGAGAAACUGUUAGCGCACAGCAUGGAUCCUGACCAGACUGCGUGGAUGCGCAAGCUGGUCUGGAUCCAUGCUGGUCGCAAAGCCACUAUGUUGGUUUUCUCAUGGCUGGACUCAUUUGAUGUGUCAGUUAAAAUUUAUUCAGUUAAUGACAGUCUUGAUAUUAUACUGAUAUGGCUUAUUGUUAUUAUAUAUAUUGAUUGUGUUGUUGAUUAUAUGAAAUAUGCUUUAAAUGUUGCAAUAUUUGAGAAUAAUUUCUCUAGAUGUAUUUUAGUAGUUGUUUUAACUGUAUAUAUGUUAUAUAUUGUCACAAAAAGACAUUUUUUAUGGUUUUAGUGGUGUUAUAUAAUGUAGGGACCAAAAAUAGUAUUUUUUUUUGAAAAUUUCUGUAAUUGACAGUGUGGUUAUUUCGUGGAACAAAUUUUGUACUAAAAUUUCAUGCAAAAAUUAUACAUUAAACAAACUAAUACCAUCAGCAAAGAGGCAUUUUCUAUUUUUUUAAAAGAUUUGUUUUUGCUUUGAAAGAUUUUUUGAACAAUGUUGUAGUCUGUGGGGCAUAGACAGCCAUUAGCUCACAAUAUCUGCUACUUUAAAAUACAUAAUUAAUUGAAUAUUUAAUAUUGUUUGCUGAUCUAUAAACUGAUAAAAUGGCAUAAGUUAUCUUAUACCAACCCCAGUACCCAGACAUGUUCCUAAAAUACAGUACAGGCUUUGAAUAAAAUUCCUGUAUUUAAAAAUAACAAUGUAGCAGGCCUAGAAAUUCAAAUUUCGAAGGGCCUAUGGUUAACUGGCAAUGGCUGGAAACAACUAUGGAUAUGAAACAUAGCAAAAACAAAUAAGAACAAUAACAAAAACAUUGUAUUUGUACCAUUAGUUUCUUUGGUAAAGAGAGGAGAUAUACAUGGAGUUUAAUCUGCCUUGCAUAACUAGGUUGCUUGCAGCAGUAGAAACUGCUUACAUAUAGUAAACAUUUAAUUAGCAGAUUUUAUACUUGCUUCAAACUGUGGGUUCACCUCUUUCACCACUCCAAGAUGAGAAGUACAUGCAAUGUUUCAACCAUAUUAUUGUAACGUUUGUCAUCUAUCAAAUUCUUCAUGUUAAACAGAAUAUUUGCAUCUUAUUGUAAUGUUUUUUUAAGUAACUUCUUGUGUUAAAUAUUGUUUUAUUAUUAUAUAUGCCCAAAUGGACAUAUUAUUUUGUGACACUGGUGUCCGUCUGUCCGUCCAUUAGCAAUUUCCUGUCCGCUCUGAAACUCUUGAACCCUUUGAAGGAUUUCGAAGAAACUCGACGCAAAUGUUCACCACACUGAGACAACGUGCAGACCCCAUGUUUUGGAUGGCUCACUUCAAGGUCAAGGUCACACUUAGGGAUCAAAGGUCAAAUGACUUUGUUUCAUGUCCAUCCUGUAACCCUUUAACUGCUCGACGGAUUUUAAAGAAACUUGGCACAAAUAUUUACUACAUCAAGACAAUGUGCAGAGCACAUGUUUAGGAUGGCUCACUUCAAGGUCAAGGUCACACUUAGGGGUCAAAGGUCAUACCUUUGGGCGUAUGUUGCUCCGCAUUGCGCUGCUCUUGUUUACUGCAAUAUUGUAGUGGUUAUUUUAGCCGUGUUUAAUUUACACUUCAGAAAUUUUUAAUUCAACAAAUAUAUGAAAAUGUUCUGUCAUUUAUUUUAGCUGUAUUUUAUUCUGUCUCUAGCAAUUUUUGAAGUAAAUAAAUGUAAGAUGUGCUGUCAUGUAUUUAAACUGUGUUUUAUUUUCCCUUCAGCAGUUUUUACAUUCAACAAAUUUGAGAAGAUGUACUGUCAUGUAUUGUCUUUCUUAAAUCCAUGAAUAUUUGAGGUCAUUUCUUCAAAAAAAAAAUCUGAUGCAAGUUCGAAAUUCUGCUUCCUGAUAGAUCUUGCAUAUUUACUUGUAAAUUUCAUGUGCAUGACUCAAAUAUAGUUUUGUAGAACAUAUUCUUACUGACUUUCUUAACUAUUUCCUGCAUUUCUGUACUUGUAUAUAUAUUUUUAGCUCACCUGAACUUCGUCCAGGGUGAAGUACUGGUAUAGGUGAAUGAUCCAUCCUAAACCUUCUAUGAAACUCCUGGGGCAGGAUGACACUAAACUUUGUCCAGGGUGAAGUUCUGGUAUAGGUGAAUGAUCCAUCCUAAACCUUCUAUGAAACUCCUGGGGCAGGAUGACACUAAACUUUGUCCAGGGUGAAGUUCUGGUAUAGGUGAAUGAUCCAUCCUAAACCUUCUAUGAAACUCCUGGGGCAGGAUGACACUAAACUUUGUCCAGGGUGAAGUUCUGGUAUAGGUGAAUGAUCCAUCCUAAACCUUCUAUGAAACUCCUGGGGCAGGAUGACACUAAACUUUGUCCAGGGUGAAGUUCUGGUAUAGGUGAAUGAUCCAUCCUAAACCUUCUAUGAAACUCCUGGGGCAGGAUGACACUAAACUUUGUCCAGGGUGAAGUUCUGGUAUAGGUGAAUGAUCCAUCCUAAACCUUCUAUGAAACUCCUGGGGCAGGAUGACACUAAACUUUGUCCAGGGUGAAGUUCUGGUAUAGGUGAAUGAUCCAUCCUAAACCUUCUAUGAAACUCCUGGGGCAGGAUGACACUAAACUUUGUCCAGAGCCUCAUGGCAUGGAUUUCUCCCAUAUUUGUUCAAAUGCGUGUCCCCAGUCCCUUUAAGGGGUGUCAGAGCAAAAAAUAGAACAAAAUACUUGAAACAACUUCUUCUCAUGAACCAAGAUUAAUAAUCAGCAAUUUUGUUGUAGCAUGCUGAGAGCUGAUAAUAGAAAAAAGCUCUAAAAAUCUUCAUCUCGUGAACAACUUUAUGGAUCAUCACCAAACUUGGUCUGUAGCAUCAUGUAUAGACAGUGGAAGCAAGACUAAGCAAUCCAGAAAAAGGGAAUGUUUCAUAUAUUUCUUUUCUCAUGAACUGCUUGAUGGAUCUUCAUUUAACUUGAUAUGUAGCAUUAUUAUAAGGCCCUUUACCAGACUUUUUCAACUGAGGACACCUGGCCCCUUUAAAGUGACUUAACCCACACAUCGUGGUGUGAGAGCUUAUAAAAUCAAACGUUUCCUAUAUUCACCUUUAUGUUGCAUAUUUGAUGUUCUAACAAUGUAUUUUUCAUUGGAUUCUGAAAUGUUAUUAUGUUUAAAAACACUCCGCCUUUAAUAUGAUCUAUGUUUUUCAAACUUUCCUGUGAUAUUUUUUAAACUGUACGGGUCAGAUUUAUAAAUUUUAUAACAAUUUUAUACUUCACUUUAAUAAAGGCAUUGCCCAGUCAUAAUUUCAGUAUCGAUUGAGUUAAAGAUACUACCGAUUUUAUACGAAAACAAGAAACAAAACAAUGAAUUAGAAAUCAGAGAAAAACAAACUUACACGAAGUAUGUAAUGCAAAAAAAAUGUUGGUCGAACACAAGUUUUGAACCAUCAAAACUAUCACUACAAAAUGAAUAUAUAUCCAUCCACUCAACAUACUGCGCUAUCAAGUCAACUAUUGACUUUCAUCGUGUAUCUUUACUUUAAACAAGAGUGCUACUGAUUGUUUGUUUAUAUAUUGCUAAAAUUAAAAAUGACAUAAUACUGUGCGAUACCUAUAGUCUAUAGAUAUGUGUGCAAUCUAUUAUUAGUGAUGGAAGCAAAAUACACGCAUACACAGUUUUGGUUUGCUGCCCAAGUGAUAAAAGUGUCUUAAAAUACUGUUUGGUCUGUUCUAUAUUUAUAUCAAUGUUUACAAAAUAAAGUGUUGCAACAGGUUUAUAAAAGUUUAUGAGAAAAACUGUAAAAACUCGAAUAUUCCCAUAACUCUGGAAACUAGAAACUAAUCAACCAUUAAGUGUCAUGUAAAUAUAUGAAACAGUGGCUGCAUUUUGCCUUGCAGUAAUAAAUUAUUUUAGAAAUCACAAAUCAUUGUGUUGGUUAGUCGCUUUAAGGGGCUGCUAGAGCUAAAACUAAAAUACCUUUAAACAACUUCUAAUGAAUGGCUAGAUGGAAUUUUCAUCAUACUUGGUUUAUAGGAUCAUUAUAAGAUCCUCUCUCAAAUUUGGUCAAAUGGGGGCAGUUGACCCCUUAUAGGGGUUGCUAGGGCUAAAAGUAAAAAUACAUUUCAAUGACUACUUCUUGUGAACCACUCAAUGGAUCUUCAUCAAACCUGGUCUGUGGCAUCAGUAUAAGGUCCUCUCAAAAAUUUGUUAAAGUUUGGGGUAUUUGGCCCCUUUUUAGGGUCAGAUGGUUAAGGUCCUCUUCAGGUGAGCCACUUAGGCCCUGUUGGGCCUCUUGUAGGAACUUUCUAUCUUUACAAACACUUCUUUUAUUUAAAUCAAUAAAUUAUGUAGAAAACUCUCAAAUACAUAAGUCAUGCUAUUGAAAUUUGGUGCAGAAUAGAAGAGAAGAAAUUUAGCUGUAUUUUAUAUGAUAAGCAUUAAAAUAUCUACUGAAACAAUAAUGGUUUAUCAUUUUCGAUACCUAAUAUCAGUUGCUAUCAGUUAAAAAAAAAGAAAUUUUAAUGUCCAUCUGGAGUCAUGUUGCUUUAAGUUUUCUAUGAAAUCUUUUUUGUGAAGGGUUUCUUUUGGUUCCUGUAUGAAUUAAACAGUUUCACAGUCAUACGACGGGCGUUCAGCAUGUAAUGUUACUGCCAUCUUAAAAUAAAGAAAUCAAAAUGUA